UUAUCAACAAUGAGAGGGACAGUACAGUCUUUCAAAGCUUAUGUACAGAAUGGCAUUCUUACUCUGUAAGCGAGCCGGGGAUGGUGGAAGCCCGGGUAUAAGCAAAAGCUGGAAAAUCACCCUUGAGUUCCUUGCCGAACGUAUAACCAUCAGUAGGCCAAGGCGGUUCAUUCACGUUAAGAAUUCUUUGAGCGGAUGAAAUACAAUCAUUUUUCAUCUACAAGGGUGGUACCGCGGGAGAAUAUAACCUUCUCGUCCCUUUU
rnacentral:ncRNA from 1 species